rnacentral:lncRNA from 1 species
CUCUGCGUGUUACUGACAGGGAGAGACACUCUGCGUGUUACUGACAGGGAGAGACACUCUGCGUGUUACUGACAGGGAGAGACACUCUGCGUGUUACCGACAGGGAGAGACACUCUGCGUGUUACUGACAGGGAGAGACACUCUGCGCGUUACUGACAGGGAGAGACACUCUGCGCGUUACUGACAGGGAGAGACACUCUGCGCGUUACUGACAGGGAGAGACACUCUGUGCGUUACUGACAGGGAG